UACGUAGGUGGCAAGCGUUGUCCGGAUUUACUGGGCGUAAAGAGCGCGCAGGCGGUCGUUCAAGUCGCGUGUGAAAGCCCCCGGCUCAACUGGGGAGGGUCACGCGAUACUGAUCGACUCGAAGGCAGGAGAGGGUAGUGGAAUUCCCGGUGUAGUGGUGAAAUGCGUAGAUAUCCGGAGGAACACCGACGGCGUAGGCAGCGCCCUGGACGACACCUGACGCUGAGGCACGAAAGCUGGGGGAGCGAACAGG
rnacentral:rRNA from 1 species